UGGAGUGUAAAAAUGUGUGAUUAAGUUUUUAGGGUGGAGAAUGUUAGGGUUUGGGUGAACAAACUCAACAAAAUACAUUUUUGCUCAACUACACAGCUUCUGUAUAAGUUUGUUUGUGUUUGGUGACUUUGCUGACUUUUGUCGAUAUAUUUUAUAGUUUGCAAGCAUUGAAUGUAUAAUAGCAAUUGCGUCCACUUCCUCUCUUAAUGCAUGAUCUCAUACGUUGUAAUUUAAUGAUAAAAAAAAUUCGACAUCACUGGAUUAAAGUUAAAUAUUAGAAACUUAGAUCAUAGAAGGAAUAAUUAAAAUGAAGACUGGAUAAAGGAAAAACCCUAGUAAUUGUAAAGUGUUUUGACCUUUGUCAUCAACUUUUUCGAAUUACAAACCAAGGCAGAAUAUCCGGUUCGUGUUUUACGUUGACAUACGUAGACCAAAUCCAUAAUUAUUUUCCAUUAAACAUUUUUUCUUAAAAUA
rnacentral:lncRNA from 1 species